rnacentral:tRNA from 1 species
GCUGCUGUAGCUCAGGGGUAGAGCACGUCAUUGGUAAUGACGAGGCCGGGAGUUCGAAUCUCCCCAGCAGCACCA